rnacentral:rRNA from 1 species
UAAUACGUAGGGUGCUAGAGUUGUCCGGAUUUACUGGGUGUAAAGGGUGCUCAGGCGGGUUUGUAAGUCAGAGGUGAAAUCCCAAAGCUUAACUUUGGUGCUGCCUUUGAUACUGCAAGUCUGGAGUUUGAGAGAGGGUAAUGGAAUAUCUGGUGUAGCAGUGAAAUGCGUAGAUAUCAGAUAGAACACCAAUGGCGAAGGCAGUUACCUGGCUCAAUACUGACGCUAAAGCACGAAAGUGUGGGGAGCAAACAGGAUUAGAUACCCUGGUAGUCCACACCCUAAACGAUGAAUACUAGAUGUUGGUUUUUUAUAAAAUCAGUAUCCAAGCUAACGCAUUAAGUAUUCCACCUGGGAAGUACAAUCGCAAGGUUG